GAUGAACGCUGGCGGCGUGCCUAAUACAUGCAAGUCGAGCGAACAGAUGAGGAGCUUGCUCCUCUGACGUUAGCGGCGGACGGGUGAGUAACACGUGGAUAACCUACCUAUAAGACUGGGAUAACUUCGGGAAACCGGAGCUAAUACCGGAUAAUAUAUUGAACCGCAUGGUUCAAUAGUGAAAGACGGUUUUGCUGUCACUUAUAGAUGGAUCCGCGCCGCAUUAGCUAGUUGGUAAGGUAACGGCUUACCAAGGCAACGAUGCGUAGCCGACCUGAGAGGGUGAUCGGCCACCCUGGAACUGAGCCACGGUCCAGACUCCUACGGGAGGCAGCAGUAGGGAAUCUUCCGCAAUGGGCGAAAGCCUGACGGAGCAACGCCGCGUGAGUGAUGAAGGUCUUCGGAUCGUAAAACUCUGUUAUUAGGGAAGAACAAAUGUGUAAGUAACUAUGCACGUCUUGACGGUACCAAAUCAGAAAGCCACGGCUAACUACGUG
rnacentral:rRNA from 1 species